AAGUAGUAAAAAUUCCCUUUUAGCGUGGCUCUUGCUGUCCUCAGGCUCACCCUCUUAUCAUGGAACCUCAUUAGGGCUCCAAGAGCUGCUGCUCUGCCAGGAAAAGCAGCUGGAAGGCGCUCUCCAAGGUGCUGAAGCAAGAGGAAACUCCACGCUGCUCCUGGAACUGUUGCCAACGUGAUUCAAGCGGAAUUGAGCACAUGGCACUGAGUUCCCACACAAACAAAGACGUUGCCACUUUCAGCGCGAUGGCCUCCUUCCUUCUGCCAGCCUGGGCCCCCCACCUAGUCCAGGCCAGGGAGACCGGAUGUCUGAUGACUGCUACCCACAUAAGCAAGAAAUGCAGUGACAAAGCGAUAGGAACAUUAAAGUACGCAGAAUACCCAUCUUCUCCAAG